rnacentral:tRNA from 1 species
AUUGUCAUGGCCGAGUGGUUAAGGCGAUGGACUGAAAAUAUUUUGGGAUCUUCCCGCGCAGGUUCGAAUCCUGUCGACAUCG